rnacentral:rRNA from 1 species
GGAUGAACUGAGGGUAGCGGAGAAAUUCCAAUCGAACCUGGAGAUAGCUGGUUCUCUCCGAAAUAGCUUUAGGGCUAGCCUCAAGUGAUGAUUAUUGGAGGUAGAGCACUGUUUGGACGAGGGGCCCCUCUCGGGUUACCGAAUUCAGACAAACUCCGAAUGCCAAUUAAUUUAACUUGGGAGUCAGAACAUGGGUGAUAAGGUCCGUGUUCGAAAGGGAAACAGCCCAGACCACCAGCUAAGGUCCCAAAAUAUAUGUUAAGUGGAAAAGGAUGUGGCGUUGCCCAGACAACUAGGAUGUUGGCUUAGAAGCAGCCAUCAUUUAAAGAGUGCGUAAUAGCUCACUAGUCGAGUGACACUGCGCCGAAAAUGUACCGGGGCUAAACAUAUUACCGAAGCUGUGGAUUGUCCUUUGGACAAUGGUAGGAGAGCGUUCUAAGGGCGUUGAAGCAUGAUCGUAAGGACAUGUGGAGCGCUUAGAAGUGAGAAUGCCGGUGUGAGUAGCGAA